GAUGAGCGCUGGCGGCGUGCCUAAUACAUGCAAGUAGAACGCUGAAGGAGGAGCUUGCUCUUCUGGAUGAGUUGCGAACGGGUGAGUAACGCGUAGGUAACCUGCCUGGUAGCGGGGGAUAACUAUUGGAAACGAUAGCUAAUACCGCAUGACAACAGUUAUUGCAUGAUAACUGUUUAAAAGGGGCAACUGCUCCACUACCAGAUGGACCUGCGUUGUAUUAGCUAGUUGGUGAGGUAACGGCUCACCAAGGCGACGAUACAUAGCCGACCUGAGAGGGUGAUCGGCCACACUGGGACUGAGACACGGCCCAGACUCCUACGGGAGGCAGCAGUAGGGAAUCUUCGGCAAUGGACGGAAGUCUGACCGAGCAACGCCGCGUGAGUGAAGAAGGUUUUCGGAUCGUAAAGCUCUGUUGUAAGAGAAGAACGAGUGUGAGGGUGGAAAGUUCACACUGUGACGGUAUCUUACCAGAAAGAGACGGCUAACUACGUG
rnacentral:rRNA from 1 species